CUGAAUCUCAGAUCAGGCGAGAUCACCCGCUGAAUUUAAGCAUAUCAUUAAGCGGAGGAAAAGAAACUAACCAGG
rnacentral:rRNA from 1 species